AUUGAACGCUGGCGGCAGGCCUAACACAUGCAAGUCGAGCGGAUGAAGGGAGCUUGCUCCUGGAUUCAGCGGCGGACGGGUGAGUAAUGCCUAGGAAUCUGCCUGGUGGUGGGGGAUGACGUCCGGAAACGGGCGCUAAUACCGCAUACGUCCUGAGGGAGAAAGUGGGGGAUCUUCGGACCUCACGCUAUCAGAUGAGCCUAGGUCGGAUUAGCUAGUUGGUGGGGUAAAGGCCUACCAAGGCGACGAUCCGUAACUGGUCUGAGAGGAUGAUCAGUCACACUGGAACUGAGACACGGUCCAGACUCCUACGGGAGGCAGCAGUGGGGAAUAUUGGACAAUGGGCGAAAGCCUGAUCCAGCCAUGCCGCGUGUGUGAAGAAGGUCUUCGGAUUGUAAAGCACUUUAAGUUGGGAGGAAGGGCAGUAAGUUAAUACCUUGCUGUUUUGACGUUACCAACAGAAUAAGCACCGGCUAACUUCGUG
rnacentral:rRNA from 1 species